CUUUGCUUUUUUGUUUUAACUUUGCUUUUCCUUUUUCUUUUUUGUCAGUUUUACUUUUUACUAUUAUUGAUUGAAGAAUAUCAUCAUUGCUAUCUUUACUUGAAACAAGGGAAGAUGAUGAUGUUGACGAAGAUGAGGACGCCAUGUCUGCCCAUUUGGCUUUGCCUUUAAGACUGGGUUUGGAUGACGAUUUAUCUGAA
rnacentral:lncRNA from 1 species